rnacentral:rRNA from 1 species
UACGUAGGGUCCGAGCGUUGUCCGGAAUUACUGGGCGUAAAGGGCUCGUAGGCGGCCAACUAAGUCAGACGUGAAAUCCCUCGGCUUAACCGGGGAACUGCGUCUGAUACUGGAUGGCUUGAAUCCGGGAGAGGGAUGCGGAAUUCCAGGUGUAGCGGUGAAAUGCGUAGAUAUCUGGAGGAACACCGGUGGCGAAGGCGGCAUCCUGGACCGGCAUUGACGCUGAGGAGCGAAAGCCAGGGGAGCAAACAGG